rnacentral:rRNA from 1 species
GACGAACGCUGGCGGCGUGCUUAACACAUGCAAGUCGAACGGUGAAGGGACCAGCUUGCUGGUUCUGGAUGAGUGGCGAACGGGUGAGUAACACGUGAGUACCCUGCCCCCUUCUUCUGGCUAACCGCAUGAAAGUGUGGCUAAUACGGGAUAUUCUGGGUCUGUCGCAUCGCGGGCCCGGGAAAGAUAUUGCUUCGGUGGGGGAUGGGGUCGCGGCAGAUCAGCUUGUUGGUGGGGUGAUGGCCUACCAAGGCGGUGACGGGUAGCCGGCCUGAGGGGGAGGACGAUCACAAUGGGAAUAAGGCACAGCCCAGACUGCGAGGGAAGGGAGCAGUGGGGAGUAUUGCACGAGGGACGCAAGCCUAAUGCAGCGACGCGGCGGGAGAGAGGGAGCGCGUCGGGUUGUAAACCUCUUUCGCCAGUGAAGCAGGCCUGCUCCUUGUGGGUGGGUUGACGGUAGCUGAAGAAGAAGCGCCGGCUAACUACGUG